rnacentral:other from 1 species
CCCCCAUUCGCGUCUAACAAGAAACCUGCGCCCCUGAGAGUCCCGGGAGCGCCGCCGGUCGGUGCCCGGCGCACCGGGCCAUGCAGCGACAGCCGCGGCGGAGCUCCGAGUGGCGAUAGCGCCCCGCUGUAAAGCGGUUCGCGAUGCCCGGGCCACAGUGAACCAGCCCGAACACGCUCCGCUCCGGACCAGCUCAGCUUUGGAUACGCUGGACUCCGCGCGCCCGCAACAAGCACCGAGGAGUCGAGGGAGCGGCAAGAGCGGGGAAGGCCUCCCCGCACGGAUCGGGGAAAUCCACCGGUGCAGCUGGGGGACACGCACUUGAGCUGGCACUGGCUGCUAGGG